rnacentral:rRNA from 1 species
UACGGAGGGUGCGAGCGUUGUCCGGAAUCACUGGGCGUAAAGGGCGCGUAGGUGGCACGGGUAGUCGUCGGUGAAAGCUCAGGGCUCAACCCUGAGUCGGCCGGUGAUACUCCCGAGCUCGAGUGUGGUAGAGGCCAAUGGAAUUCCGGGUGUAGCGGUGGAAUGCGUAGAGAUCGGGAGGAACACCGGUGGCGAAGGCGGCCAGCUGGCGCUGACCUGACGCUGAGGCGCGAAGGCGUGGGGAGCGAACGGG